CCUACGGGUGGCAGCAGUCGAGAAUCAUUCACAAUGGGGGAAACCCUGAUGGUGCGACGCCGCGUGGGGGAAUGAAGGUCUUCGGAUUGUAAACCCCUGUCAUGUGGGAGCAAAUUAAAAAGAUAGUACCACAAGAGGAAGAGACGGCUAACUCUGUGCCAGCAGCCGCGGUAAUACAGAGGUCUCAAGCGUUGUUCGGAAUCACUGGGCGUAAAGCGUGCGUAGGCUGUUUCGUAAGUCGUGUGUGAAAGGCGCGGGCUCAACCCGCGGACGGCACAUGAUACUGCGAGACUAGAGUAAGGGAGGGGGAAUCGGAAUUCUCGGUGUAGCAGUGAAAUGCGUAGAUAUCGAGAGGAACACUCGUGGCGAAGGCGGGUUCCUGGACAUUAACUGACGCUGAGGCACGAAGGCCAGGGGAGCGAAAGGGAUUAGAUACCCCUGUAGUC
rnacentral:rRNA from 1 species